UUACGCGCGCUGCUUCGAACGGCGGUUGUAUGUUUAUGAGAAGCUGUUUUUCAUGGCAGAAAUACACUCGGAGGUUUGCCAUUGCCUGCCGAGAGGAAACGCUU